CUCUAAACCAUCUCAUCUGUUUUGCAGCUAUAUUCUUAACUAGUUAUCUAUAUGCCUAGUUAAUUUUAUUCAUUUUAGCAUUAUUUAGCAUGACUACAAGAUUACAAUUAAUAUUAGCUUUAUUUAGGUAUGAUUUUUUAUUUUUUUUUAACCGAGACGAUAGCAUGGCAAAUGUCUACAGUUCUGGACAUGUAUGCCUAGCCUGUUCCUAUUCUCCUUAUUAUGUCAAAAAUUGAGCCGAUACCUAUCUCGUCAUGCUUGAUGUAAUGCUCUGUUUACUCCUGGAAUGCAUGAUGUUGCUGUUGUGGCACCGCACGCCUAUUAUGUAUUCUCAUGCACACAAAAAAAAAUAGGGGUGACUACAAGUUCCUGAUUUCAAAAU